GCUUGUCUCAAAGAUUAAGCCAUGCAUGUCUAAGUAUAAACAAAUCUAUACGUGAAACUGCGAAUGGCUCAUUAUAUCAGUUAUAGUUUAUUUGAUGGUUCAUACUACUUGGAUAACCGUAGUAAUUCUAGAGCUAAUACAUGCGUCAAAACCCGACUCCUGGGAGGGUUGUAUUUAUUAGAUGGAAACCAAUGCGGGGCAACCCGGAAAAUGGUGAUUCAUAAUAACUUUCGGAUCGUUUACGAUGCAUCAUUCAAGUUUCUGCCCUAUCAGCUUUGGAUGGUAGGGUAUUGGCCUACCAUGGCUUUAACGGGUAACGGAGAAUUAGGGUUCGAUUCCGGAGAGGGAGCCUGAGAAAUGGCUACCACAUCCAAGGAAGGCAGCAGG
rnacentral:rRNA from 1 species